ACUCGCUGAAACUCUGAGGUGUAACAAGGUCCCUGGACAGAGUGAGAAGUGAGGAUGGGCAAGCCUUCUCCCCAGCAGCACUUGUGCCCUCAAAAAUGUGAGAUGUAAGCAAAGAUGUCUUCUACUUUUGCCUCCCUCUUCUGUGCUGGUCUUUCAUUUCAUCCUUUUUCUGACUGCUCCCCACUCUACAUGCACACAAA
rnacentral:lncRNA from 1 species